rnacentral:rRNA from 1 species
UCGCCUGUUUAACAAAAACAUGUCUUUUUGAAAUUUUUUUAAAAGUCUAACCUGCCCACUGAAUAAUUUAAAUGGCCGCAGUAUACUAACUGUGCAAAGGUAGCAUAAUCAUUAGUCUUUUAAUUGAAGGCUGGUAUGAAUGGUUGGACGAGAUAUUAACUGUUUCAUAAAAAUUUAUAGUAGAAUUUUAUUUUUUAGUCAAAAAGCUAAAAUAAAAUUAAAAGACGAGAAGACCCUAUAAAUCUUUAUACAUAGAUUAUUAGAAUUUCAUAGAUUUUUUUUGUUAUAAUAAUUAAUUGUAUUUUAUUGGGGUGAUAUUAAAAUUUAAUAAACUUUUAAUUUUAAAAAUCAUUAAUUUAUGAAUAAUUGAUCCGUUAAUAACGAUUAGAAAAAUAAGUUACUUUAGGGAUAACAGCGUAAUUUUUUUGGAGAGUUCAUAUCGAUAAAAAAGAUUGCGACCUCGAUGUUGGAUUAAGAUAUAAUUUUAGGUGCAGUCGCUUAAAUUUUAAGUCUGUUCGACUUUUAAAAUCUUACGUGAUCUGUUCCCAAACCGGA